rnacentral:rRNA from 1 species
GAGUUUGAUCCUGGCUCAGGACGAACGCUGGCGGCGUGCUUAACACAUGCAAGUCGAACGAAGCGCUUAAACGGAUUUCUUCGGAUUGAAGUUUUUGUGACUGAGUGGCGGACGGGUGAGUAACGCGUGGGUAACCUGCCUCAUACAGGGGGAUAACAGUUAGAAAUGACUGCUAAUACCGCAUAAGCGCACAGUGCUGCAUGGCACAGUGUGAAAAACUCCGGUGGUAUGAGAUGGACCCGCGUCUGAUUAGCUAGUUGGUGGGGUAACGGCCUACCAAGGCGACGAUCAGUAGCCGGCCUGAGAGGGUGAACGGCCACAUUGGGACUGAGACACGGCCCAAACUCCUACGGGAGGCAGCAGUGGGGAAUAUUGCACAAUGGGGGAAACCCUGAUGCAGCGACGCCGCGUGAGCGAAGAAGUAUUUCGGUAUGUAAAGCUCUAUCAGCAGGGAAGAAAAUGACGGUACCUGACUAAGAAGCACCGGCUAAAUACGUGCCAGCAGCCGCGGUAAUACGUAUGGUGCAAGCGUUAUCCGGAUUUACUGGGUGUAAAGGGAGCGUAGACGGUUGUGUAAGUCUGAUGUGAAAGCCCGGGGCUCAACCCCGGGACUGCAUUGGAAACUAUGUAACUAGAGUGUCGGAGAGGUAAGCGGAAUUCCUAGUGUAGCGGUGAAAUGCGUAGA